UGUACUCCUCCGUCGUCGGAAACCCUAGCGCGAGCACGAGCUGGUGGGGGUAGGGUUGAUCUUCCUCUCGUGAGGGAUCUGCCGCUGGCGCGUCGGCCGUCUCCGCCGUCGCCGUUGAUCGCUCCAACCAGAUAAAGUCUCCGCCGUCGUGCACGUCCCCUUGUGUUGCCGCGAUCGCCGUGAGCAUUUUACUCCUCGUUGGAAUCCUAGCGCGAGCACGAGCUGGUGGGGGUAGGGUUCCUCUUCCUCUCGGGUGGGAUGUGCCGCUGGCCCGCCGGCCGUCUCCGCCGUCGCCCUUGAUCGCUCCAACCAGAUAAGUCUGGGCGAGCGCGGCUAGGGUUAGGGCCGGCUCCUCUUUCCCUUGAGCGUGGCCUUAGCGGCUUCUUCCUCCUCGGACGCAUCGAUCGACCCCUGUGGUGGGGGUAGGCUUACUCCUCCGGCGCAUCGACUGGUAGCUACGAAAUGGAUGAGACGAGGUCUGGUGUUUGUGAGGUAGAGAGGGUUCCUGGAAUUGGAGUUCAUGGAGAUGAGUCAGAUAAUUCUAGAACGGGGCUUGGUGAUGAAUCUUUUUCAGCGAGUGAGAAUAUUUUUGUUGGUUCAAGGUCAGAUAAUUCCAUGAGCUCAGAGCAUGGGAGGGAAGCAAUUAUUAAUGUAAGUGUCUUUGAUAUAUGCAAUUUUUUCAUGGAAAUCAAAUGCAGAACAAUAAAUGUUUUAACAU